rnacentral:rRNA from 1 species
ACACGGAGGGCGCAAGCGUUGCUCGGAAUCACUGGGCGUAAAGCGGGUGUAGGCGGUCUAGCAAGUCAGAUGUGAAAGCCCACGGCUCAACCGUGGAAGUGCAUCUGAAACUGCUAGACUUGAGUGCCGGAGAGGGAAGUGGAAUUCCUGGUGUAGGGGUGAAAUCCGUAGAUAUCAGGAGGAACACCGGUGGCGAAGGCGACUUCCUGGACGGCCACUGACGCUGCGACCCGAAAGCGUGGGGAGCAAACAGGAUUAGAAACCCUAGUAGUCC